rnacentral:misc_RNA from 1 species
GCAAACUUGGUCAUUUAGAGGAAGUAAAAGUCGUAACAAGGUUUCCGUAGGUGAACCUGCGGAAGGAUCAUUAUUGAAUAUGCUUGAUGGGUUGUUGCUGGCCCCGUGGGGCAUGUGCACACCUGUCUCGACUGUUAUUCAUCCACCUGUGCACCUACUGUAGUCUUUUCUUGGUGGUUGGGGAAUCGGUGGCUGACUUUGGGUCCCCCCGUUGGAACUGCCAUCAGGGAAGGGUCUAUGUCUUUUAUCAUAAACCAUGUAACAUGUUGUCAGAAUGUAGUCAAUAGGCUCUUCAAUGUUGCCUAUACAAACCAUAUACAACUUUCAGCAACGGAUCUCUUGGCUCUCACAUCGAUGAAGAACGCAGC